AACGAACGCUGGCGGCAUGCCUAACACAUGCAAGUCGAACGAUGCUUUCGGGCAUAGUGGCGCACGGGUGCGUAACACGUGGGAAUCUGCCCUUGGGUUCGGAAUAACAGUGAGAAAUUGCUGCUAAUACCGGAUGAUGUCUUCGGACCAAAGAUUUAUCGCCCAGGGAUGAGCCCGCGUAGGAUUAGCUAGUUGGUGGGGUAAUGGCCUACCAAGGCGACGAUCCUUAGCUGGUCUGAGAGGAUGAUCAGCCACACUGGGACUGAGACACGGCCCAGACUCCUACGGGAGGCAGCAGUGGGGAAUAUUGGACAAUGGGCGCAAGCCUGAUCCAGCAAUGCCGCGUGAGUGAUGAAGGCCUUAGGGUUGUAAAGCUCUUUUACCCGGGAUGAUAAUGACAGUACCGGGAGAAUAAGCUCCGGCUAACUCCGUG
rnacentral:rRNA from 1 species